rnacentral:rRNA from 1 species
CCAAUAGCGUAUAUUAAAGUUGUUGCAUUUAAAAAGCUCGUAGUUGAAUUUUAGGCCUGGCCAGGCGGUCCGUCUUUGGCGAGUACUGUCUUGUUGUCGGGUCUUCCUUCUGGUGAACCAGUAUGUCCUUUAUUGGGUGUGUUGGGGAGCCAGGACCAUUACCUUGAAAAAAUUAGAGUGUUUAAAGCGGGCUAUUGCUUGAAUAGAUUAGCAUGGAAUAAUAGAAUAGGACGUUGUGGUUCUAUUUUGUUGGUUUCUAGGACCACCGUAAUGAUUAAUAGGGAUAGUUGGGGGCAUUAGUAUUCAAUUGUCAGAGGUGAAAUUCUUGGAUUUAUUGAAGACUAACUAUUGCGAAAGCAUUUGCCAAGGAUGUUUUCAUUAAUCAAGAACGAAAGUUAGGGGAUCGAAGACGAUCAGAUACCGUCGUAGUCUUAACCAUAAACUAUGCCGACUAGGAAUCGGGCGACGUUAUUUUAAUGACUCGCUCGGCGCCUUAUG